CUCGUAUAUUUUUAAGACCUCUAAUUGAUACUUAUGUCAUUUUUGAGAGAGGGGGCUAAGCCUCUCCCCUAAUUGUAUUACUGCAGAUGAUUAAAGACAUUCGAAUUAUUCAGAUUAUUCGAAUAAUCCGAAUAAAAUUCAUUUCAAUAACCGGUUUCGAUUAUUCGGAUUAUCCGGAUUAUGUUGGAAUCUGAAUAUGUCUGACAUCACUAAUGAGAACCUACAUAUACUUUAAUGCAAAUUAUAAAUUAGAUAAUUUUCUGAAAAUGUUGACGCAUUGUAAUCGAAAUUUAAACGAAAAGUUUUUGAAUUAUUCUAGUUUAAAAUACUAAAGAUAACAGUAUAAUAUGAUGAUUAUUGGAU